GUUAAAUUAAUGAUACGGAGGCAAGAGUUCUGUCUGCAAAAGGCAUGCUGUCAUUUCCUCUGGCUUGUAGCAUUUCCUUUGCCAUCUCCUCCACAAUUUUGUUUAGCUUGCAACAACAGAAAUGGCCUAGCAUGGAGUGUGUUCCACAUGCAUGCAAAAAAGUAACGGGAUCUGCAGAGAAUUUUUUUAAAGUUGGGUUUGCACUCUUGUGCUGUCUCUUUGUGAAAUGUAAGGAAGAUUGACAGUUGAGGGAUUGCAAUAAACUGUGAUGUUUUCUUUUGCUCCUCUCCCCUCGCCACUUCUAAUUAUCUGAAUUGUCAAGUCUGGGAUCCCUCAGUCUGACAGAAGUGAUGCUCAGAGGGGAGAGGCUUAACAACUUGCUUACAUUCAGCUCUUCAGGCAUAAUCAAAGGUCGGGUUUGCUGUAUCUUUUACAUGUGAUUGUUUGCCCCAAAACAGCGGUCAUUUAAGCUGAAAGAAGUGGCUUGAAAACAAAUAGAAAAUAAGAGCUGUAAACUGACCUAAAUUCCUCCUCUUGACUCCUACCAGCCUCCAGGUGCCAUGGGCUGUUUACACUGGACUUAAAAAAACGAAGGCAAGAGCUUGCAGGUCCCUACCUUUGCAUCUCCGCCAGUGUUUUACCCAGUCUGUAACCUCUGUUCCCUGGGACAGAGAAAGGAGAGUGCUUAACAACACUAGCAGCCAGCCUACACUUGUGCCUGUGUGAGGAAGUGUCUGAAAACCACUAAAAGUUUGACAGGAUUAUACUUAGAUGAAUCUUCUGAUAGAAGAGGCCAAGUAGCCCUUCCCCCGCAAUAGCUACUGUCAGCUGGAUAUGGAGUUUUAUUUUUAUGCUUGAAGAGGGAAGGUGAGAGGCAUGGGACAGGGACAAAUAUGCGACUGUCUGUCCUGUGGUUUCAGGAGCUGGUAAGAAGUACAUAAUUUGGGGUCAGUGGCCCUCCUUCUUAGCUGCUGCUGGCUACAAAGGUGUGAUGCAGCAGAAAUGGCUCCCCUUCUCAAAGCCCCAUGGAGUAUAAAUCAAGGAGGAAAGUAAUUCACCCAAUUAGAGAAAGGAUAAAGGACUUGCCUGUGGAGCAGGAAGGGAAGGAAACAUACUUACAGUCAGCUGAAUGAUGGAUGAACAGCAAAACACCUUCUCUACAUGUGCAUAUAACCCAAGCUCAGAUCUGCUAGUGCAGCUUCACUCCAGACAGACAGUUCAAUCUAACUGUACAUAUGGUUAAAAUAGCCCAGACAUCAGAGUGAGUAGCAGUAGCUGGAAAACUGAAAGAUCUGCAUGUGCUAAAGUGUGCGGCUGACAAGGAAGAACAAGCCACCUGAGGAGAAGCGUUUCUUUUUUGCCAGCCACGGCCUUUGCCUUCCCAGCACAGCGCUGUUGCAUGAACGAGCUUAGAUGCCUCCAUAGACUCUCGCAGCAUGUCCCAGGGAAGAUUUAUGGGCACGGUGCUGAUCGGCUGAGAGGGCGAAAGAUGCACAUGAAGGAGAAGACAAGGACCAGGAACAUAUGUGUUGAGCAUCCUUCAUCAAGCCAUUGCCCAGCCUGAGUCUGAAGCUGUUAUGCAGCAAGCAGACCACCUCUGGCAAACCUCUGAUGGGUAAUAACCCGGGGAUCAGGGCCCGGAAAACAGGCAAUCCAGUAUGUCUCUUACAUGUAGGGCUUGAUCCACAGCUGGCACAGAUCAGCAUCAUGCCAUUGGAAGAAGAGACUUUGUAUAGACUGAGACCAGCUGAACACCAGAAUUGCCAAUAAAAUAAAGUAGUUCUGUGAAUAAACAGAAUAUUAGC